UACGAAGGGGGCUAGCGUUGCUCGAAAUGACUGGGCGUAAAGGGCGCGUAGGCGGCCUGGUAAGUAGGGGGUGAAAUCCUGCGGCUUAACCGCAGGGCUGCCUUCUAAACUGUCAGGCUUGAGCACGGUAGAGGCAGAUGGAAUUCCCGGUGUAGCGGUGGAAUGCGUAGAGAUCGGGAAGAACAUCAGUGGCGAAGGCGGUCUGCUGGGCCGUUGCUGACGCUGAGGCGCGACAGCGUGGGGAGCAAACAGG
rnacentral:rRNA from 1 species